rnacentral:rRNA from 1 species
CGAAGGGUGCAAGCGUUACUCGGAAUUACUGGGCGUAAAGCGUGCGUAGGUGGUUCGUUAAGUCUGUCGUGAAAUCCCCGGGCUCAACCUGGGAAUGGCGAUGGAUACUGGCGAGCUAGAGUGAGGUAGAGGAGAGUGGAAUUCCCGGUGUAGCAGUGAAAUGCGUAGAGAUCGGGAGGAACAUCAGUUGCGAAGGCGGCUCUCUGGACCAUCACUGACACUGAGGCACGAAAGCGUGGGGAGCAAACAGGAUUAGAUACCCUGGUAGUCCACGCCCUAAACGAUGCGAACUGGACGUUGGGCUCAAUUAGGAGCUCAGUGUCGAAGCUAACGCGUUAAGUUCGCCGCCUGGGGAGUACGGUCGCAAGACUG